UUAAGGUUACCUGUCUACAAUUUACUUUCUGCAGAUUGCAAUAAGUAAUUUGGGUUUUGUUUUAUACAGAGCAAGACACAGUGCGAUCAUCACCUGGCUUUAGUGUCCUGUGAUCUCACUGGCGUUCCCAACCCUGACACUCCUUGCAAAAGGUUCAUCUUCGUCCAGCUUUUAUUAUUGUCCUCUGUAAUUUAUAUACUGCCAUUCCAUGAGUUAUUUUCACUAAUCUUCAUCCUAUGCUUUUUUAAUGCUCGAGCCUUGAGAUUGAAUAAUUGUUUGGUAUCUCCAAAAGCAAGAUAUCCAAUUGAUCGUAGGACUUCUAUUUCGUAGAAAUGAUUGUUUUCCUAUAAAAGCCAUCCUCUAAGAAUAUUGUCUGUUCAGAGUUUGUUUUUCAUUUUUUCUUUUUUCCUCUCAAAAGUCAAAACUCAUGAAUGAAGUUUCCCAACUGUUACUACUGCAUGAGAUUUUUGCCAUCCCUUUCAUGAAAAAGUAGAUUCCUUCUUGGAAGUAUUUAUGCUUGCAUUAGCAAAGCAACUAGUUAGGUUUGCAAAUCUUGCAUGUAUAUUAGAGCCAUCAAUUCGAAAACAGUUUUGAUGAAAGAAGGAAUUUAGAGUUUUCUCAUUGAACAUAAUCUUUUGAUUGUUUUAGUAAAAAGCUCUAGGACGAUUCUCUACUUUUACAUCAUCAAAGUAUGAGUACCUGACUACCUGAGUUUGAAGAAUACCCCGUAUUACUAAUUCGGACAACAAUUUUCAUAUAUUGUAGAUGUCAGUAUCCCAGGGAGAAUUGGAAUUGGUUUUGUUUGUCCUGUAAGGACGUUAUCUGUAGUUUUAACAAUCAUAGUGAGCAUUAUCAGCAGACAAAGCAUUGUCUUUGUGUCAACUGAAGGUAACCAUUACAAUGUUUUCUACAAAAUUACAGGCUCAAGUCUUUCUUUUUCUGCUGUGAUUUAUUACAAAUAUGUCUUCUGGUUUUGCUCACCUUUUAAAACAGUUCCCAAGCAAUUUGGUGUUGCUCUUGCCGUGAAUAUCUAGAUGCUCAAGUGAUCCCUCAAUCUUUUCAUUAGUCUUAAAAUGUUAGGCCUUUUCUGCUAAUAUAUAUAACAUAUAUAUAUGUGUGUGUGCGUGUGGCUUUUUGCGAAAUUAGAAAGCAUUUUGGGCAAAUUCAAUAGUUUUGAUAAGUUUCUGUUGAUAAUUGCAGAUGGCCAGGUAUUUUGUCUUGUUUCAUUUUCUUUUAAUUAUGCAAAUAGAGUGCCAACUUGCACCGGCUCCCUCUCUUAGAUUUUAAAUUGUUUGCUACAUUAGGUUCUUGGCAUAGAUGCUGGAAUAAUCUUUAUGAAUCAGUAGCCAAAAGGGUGUCCUAUUAAUAAAGAAGCUAUACUAAUCCUUGCUAUCCUGAAUUUGCUUGCCUUGAUUGAUUCACUAAAUGGAGUAGUACAUAAGAUCAAUUAUUCUAGUUAAUAUGGCAGUAUCUGUUCUGUGAGUGAAAGCUUUGAAGUGGCAUUGAUUUUAUUAUUAUUGUAAGUUUCUGCCAUUAUAUCAUCUCAUUAAAGUGGUGAUUUCCUCAGGUAACUAGAAGUGUUGACACUGAGCGUGGCAAGCUAAGUCCACAGGAACAAAAGACAGUUGAUGCAAUUUUUGAAGCAAGCAAGCUUCCUCUAUCAAUUAUACUUGUUGGUGUUGGAGAUAGGCCCUGGUACAUGAUGAAAGAGUGAUGACAACAUUCGUACUCGGGCAUUGAUAAUUUCCAUGUUAAGUGUUUAGCAAUUGAAUAGGUUUUUGUUUCUGUUACUCAUGAAUAGGGAUUUAUCAAUCACACAAAUACUAAAGACAAGCAUUUGCCUCACACAAACUCAUUAGUGUUAUUUGCCCUAUAACUUCAUUUAUGGCUGACAUUGAAGUUUCUUGUAGAUCAAUUUCUUGGCUGAGAGAGUUAGCAGAGGAUCAACUUUCCGAUCAUGACAUCAAAAUAUUUGUUGAUAUCUUCCUUGUUAUUUGAAUUGGCAGUUUUGUUGUACUCUGCUACUGCUGCCUAAUGGAGGCUUUUGGUGAUUCUUUUGGAAACUUAUAAUGUGGUUUUACUCCUGAUUUUGUGUGGCUUUUGACUUUGCUAUCUAUUUAGAUGGAGUACCAGGAUCAAUCUUUCUGGUCAAAUUGGGGUUGCAUUAGCUGAGUCACCAAAUGAGGCUCUUCAUCUUAAUUGCAGAGCUAAUAUUGUGCUGCAUGGUUGACUAAAGAUAAAUUGAAGGUAGUGUAGGAAAUCUUUUAAUUUACUUUUCACUUAUGGUUUGUAUGUCACUGCAUGUACAUGUCCCCUCUCACAGAGAGUUCCCAAUGAGAAGACUUAUAUAUCCAAAUGAAACAGAUCACUCUUAGUAUGAGAAGGAAAUGUACGUGAGAGUUCUACACCUUUUAAAACCUUGGAUGUACUAUAUACAUUAUCUUUUAACAUUGUCAUUUCCCAAUCAAAUAGCAUUUUAGCGUUGUCAUAUCUUUAUCUAUAUAACUUGGAACUUUCAUUGCUAGUGAUUAAUUUUAGCUAGCCUGAUAAACUGCUAGUUAUAUGGUGCAGUACUAAUCAGUAAGAUUUAUGAAAA